rnacentral:rRNA from 1 species
CUUUUUCCCGGGUCGAUCGUGGGGUAUGGUUCGUGAUGCGCAACUCCUAAUUUCUUUAAAAGCUCCGCAGUACGUCGAUCGUGGCCACGUGUUCGUAGCCGCAACAUGUUCCGGAAUCAUCAUGAUGGUGGUGGCGGGGCCGGGAGGCGGAGACGGAGGGAUAGAGCAGGGGCCGGCGUCGUCGGAGUAGUAGUAGGGGGAAGCGGGGGUUAGGAGUUAGGAGCGUGCUUGACGGGGGCGUUGUGGGAGGGCCCCCGAGAGGGGCGGCGGGCAUGUUGCGGGAGCAGCCGCGCGAGAAGCGGCAUAGCCGGGCCUCCCCGCACGCGACCUUCGGCCUCGGCCCUUCCUCACGUCGGUGGUCGCCCUCUGUUCCCCUCCGCGCCACCACGAGAGAGACCAGCGGUCGCGCCGGUGGUGUCCCCUCUCCCGGUCCCCUUCGCCGCCGUAUGCUGAGACAUCCGCCUACAUCGCAGACCGCCCUCCACUGCGCGUCGUCCCUUCCGUUGCCGGCCUAGGCGCGCGGCCACUCCGGACUAACGGUACGCCCCGGCACCGCCAGUCUAGUCCCGGUGCGUACCCUUAGCCGGAACGCCGCCGCAAUACGGCUGCGUUUUUCUUCCGUGCCUCGCCGCGCGGCCGCACAGCACUCGUGUUGUGGCACGCCCCGCUCGCCGUCCUAGACGAACUCCAGAUGACCGCGACGGCAGCUCCUGAGGUCCUUGACGGUGGCUCCUGCCGGUAGCUCGUGGCUCGAUCUUGGCGAUGCCUACCGUCCGACGGUGGCUCCUGCCGGUAGCUCGUGGCUCGAUCUUGGCGAUGCCUACCGUCCGACGGUGGCUCCUGCUAACAGUACCGGCGCGGACGGGUGACGGUCAGAGGGCAGAGGAUGUCUAUUCGUUCGUUUCUGCGGUACCAAGUCCGUAGACAAUGGGUUUUUUUUAGGGUGUCGGCCUCCUCGUCUCCUCGAUGUGUAAAUCACACAUACACUAUAGGACGGUCUUAAGAUCUCGUAAGUAUAUCCAUAUGACAAACCCACUUCUUCUCCCGAAGUCCCGGAGGAUUCGUACUUCCCUCCUGACGUUUAACUAUCUUUGUUCUCUCCCUGUACCACCAAAAGAAGUUGGUAUCGAACGAACUUCGUAUACGACUAUACGUGUAGGCCGGUACUGAACCUAAUUCAUUCGUGUACUUCAACACUACGAUUAUGUCUGGUUCAGCUCUCGUUAUAGUCACCCAACAGUACGAUCCUUAUACGUAUGUAUUAUGUACAUUACUAAAAGACAUAAAAUUCUCUAAUUAGAAUCCAACUUCACAUCAAAUAAUGUCGCCAUAAACUUGUUUUGUUUAUAACUCUGUUUUACACCUUUCCAACUUGAAGAAUAUAUAUUAAGAAGACACACUCUUUACUCUUGAUAUGGUACAAUAAAGGCUUUACCUUACAAAGGUCUUAAACC